rnacentral:rRNA from 1 species
AGUGAACGCUGGCGGUAGGCCUAACACAUGCAAGUCGAACGGCAGCACAGUAAGAGCUUGCUCUUACGGGUGGCGAGUGGCGGACGGGUGAGGAAUACAUCGGAAUCUACUUUUUCGUGGGGGAUAACGUAGGGAAACUACGCUAAUACCGCAUACGACCUACGGGUGAAAGCAGGGGAUCUUCGGACCUUGCGCGAUUGAAUGAGCCGAUGUCGGAUUAGCUAGUUGGCGGGGUAAAGGCCCACCAAGGCGACGAUCCGUAGCUGGUCUGAGAGGAUGAUUCGGCAACAUGGAAAUGAGAAACGGGUCAGAACUCUAAGGGAAGGAGGCGGUGGGAAUAUUUGGAAAAGGGGGGAAGCCCUAAGCCGGCCAUACGGGGUGGUGAAGAAGGGCCUUGGGUUGGAAAAGCCUUUUUGUUGGAAAGAAAAGCAGCAGGUUAAUACCCCGCUGUUCUGACGGUACCCAAAGAAUAAGCACCGGCUAACUUCGUG